UUGUAUCUGGCUCUUUCAAGUCCGAGUUGUAGUCUCGAGAAGCAUCAUCCGCGCCGGACCUUGGAUAUGUCUGUUGGAAAACAGCGUCAUAGAGGGUGACAAUCCCGUUUGUGCCAAGGACGCCCGUGUGCAUUGCGGUGUGCUUUCUAAGAGUCGAGUUGUUUGGGAAUGCAGCUCAAAUUGGGUGGUAAAUUCCAUCUAAAGCUAAAUAUUGGCGAGAGACCGAUAGCGAACAAGUACCGUGAGGGAAAGAUGAAAAGCACUUUGGAAAGAGAAUGAAACAGUAUGUGAAAUUGCUGGAAGGGAAACGUUUGAAGUUAGACUUGCUUUUGUCACAUUCAGCCUUUUAGGUGUACUUGUGGCUUGUGCAGGCCAGCAUCGGUUUGCUUUGCGGUAUAAGGGUGCAUGGGAUGUAGCUGCCUCGGCAGUGUUAUAAACUUGCACUGGAUGCCGAAUCGCAGACCGAGGUUCGCAGCGCG
rnacentral:rRNA from 1 species